GCUGCCCGCCGGGGCCGCGCUGAGAGACGCGCCAACAGGGCGCUCUGCGGAGACGCGUGCAGCCGUGGGAACACGCGAGCCCACGAGUCAUUCCAGAGUCUGAUUUACUAGAGACAGUGCUCAUUCUGCUAAACUUCUGCGUGCUGCAAAACCGCUUUGUGGCAGAUCAAUGCUGGAGGCUUAGAAACAAGAGGAGAGUGUCACCAGGAAACAAAUAUCUCCAAGGAAAAGUCAGUUAAUCAAGGAAAAGCAACCACGUUGUUGUUUGUUUGGAGAGGAAUCCAUGAAAUUCCUUGACCACCACUGUUCUUGAUGGUUCCCUGAACAAACUGUGGCCUGUGUCCUCACUCUGACCCUCCCCCUCACGUGGUGCUGGGGGAGCAGUGCCCAUCGCCAGCAGAACUGCUCCUGCUCUCCUUGGUGCCCUGUGACCUGCCACGCGUCGGUGGGACAACAAACAGCCCUUCUCUAGUUAGAGCACGCACCAGGACGGCAGAGGCCAGAAUCACCCUGCGGAGUCACUGCUCUUCCACGCGCUUCACCUGCUGCGGAAGGACAGACGGCUGUUCUCCUGCCACAGCGCGGGGGCUGCCCCGGGACGUGCUCAGCAAGACCGGCCGCCCUGCAGCUCGUGGGACUCACAGGCAAGCGCAGCACGGUGAGGUGGCGGGUUGACGUCGCGGGUGGCAGGGCACAUGCUGGGGCACAUGCUGGAAACCCCACACGGCAUUGCUGCGGGGUCAGGGCUCCUCCUGGCAGCACUGAUGCCCCCCCACUCUGCUUUGUCAGCAUCGCGGAUCGGGGGUUAUGGACAGAGAAGUAGGAAGUAGAAAGUGAGUUUCGAACAACUCCUGUAAGUUGUUGUGAAAGCCAACUGAAUUCUCAUUGUCACGGGAAGAUCGGGAGUACCAGUACUAGUGCCAUCCAUUGUUUUCUUCCUGUCCUCUGGGAACUUACCCUUUUUGUGUCUCUGUUCUGCUGUUAAGUCAUUAUGCCAGCACUUCUCUGCACUCUUAGAGCUAUUUUAAUUAACUUCAAAAAAUCUGUACCCAAAAUGUGCUUUAAUAAUACCUGAACGUAAUAUGAUUUUUUUUCCCCUGGCAAAAAAAUAAGGUAUAUUUUCACAAUGUUAGACCCCAUUCUCUUGCCACAUACCAAGGCCAACACAAAACCCAGCAUCCCUUUCUCAGUAGCUGCCUGUCCUGGUACAAUAGACAUUACCUGGUUGACUGUCUCCUCCUCCCCUCACCCAUAAUGAAAUUUCUGGAGGACAGAAACAUAUUGACAAACAAUAUGUUGGUAAUAGUGAUGUUCACCUGGAGUGCUGGCCAGAUUCACAGUACUCCAGUUCCCUGACCACCACGUCCCAAACCGUGACAGUAGGAAUGGUCCAUCUGUGAGACACUGGAUGGAAACCUGGAGUCACUUCAGAGCCUUUUGGACGCCAGACCCACCCAGGAGUGAUUAGUCAGUAACCGCAGGCACCGCCAGGCUCGAUGGCAGAGCACCCUUCUCCAAGGACAGAUAGCUUCAAAAGCGUGGUGGCCACCAGCAGCUCCCAGCAGGUAGAAGAGACACAGCAGAUGGCAGAGGAAAGAGGCUGGACCCUGCUCCUGUUAAUAACCCAUCCUCCUCGACAUCACAGUGCAUCGAGCGAGAUUAAUCCAAACUGCAUUAUCUCCUGGAAUUCAUAUUCCUCCGAUAGAAGUGAUGAUGGAAUCAGUUGCCUGGCUGAGCUGAACAUUAUUUAUCUGCACUUGAUCUUUCCAAGGCCACUGACAGAUAGAUAGAUGGAAAAACGUUUAUUCUCUCUGUGGUUUGUGUCAUUUUCAUGUAAUGUCAUCUGAUCCCCCAGAUGUCUCUCACAUUUAAAUGAGAUUUAUGCAAGAGUAGAAUAAAGCUGAUGAAAAUCACAAA